rnacentral:rRNA from 1 species
GGUGUCAAACCGGAGGAAGGUGGGGAUGACGUCAAGUCCUCAUGGCCUUUAUGUCUAGGGCUACACACGUACUACAAUGGCCGGUACAAAGGGCAGCCACUCAGCGAUGAGGCGCUAAUCCCAUAAAGCCGGUCUCAGUCCGGAUCGCAGUCUGCAACUCGACUGCGUGAAGUUGGAAUCGCUAGUAAUCGUAGAUCAGCAUGCCUACGGUGAAUACGUUCCCGGGCCUU